AAGGAAUAAGCCCAUGUUCUCAGUCCGUGGAGGAACAGGGAUAUUUGCUAUUGCAAGAAGAAUCCAAUGCACUUUGGAGGUUUCUGCUGGCAACAUGUACAUGUGUCUAGAGAGUUGAGGACAGCAACAGAAGUUGGAAAGAAGGUAAACUAGGAAAAUUAACCAAUCUGCUCUU
rnacentral:lncRNA from 1 species